CGCGGCCUAUCAGCUUGUUGGUGAGGUAACGGCUCACCAAGGCAUCGACGGGUAGCUGGUCUGAGAGGACGAUCAGCCACACUGGGACUGAGACACGGCCCAGACUCCUGCGGGAGGCAGCAGUGGGGAAUCUUGCGCAAUGGGCGAAAGCCUGACGCAGCAACGCCGCGUGGGGGAUGAAGGCUCUCGGGUUGUAAACCCCUUUCAGCAGGGACGAAAUUGACGGUACCUGCAGAAGAAGCCCCGGCCAACUACGUGCCAGCAGCCGCGGUGACACGUAGGGGGCGAGCGUUGUCCGGAAUUAUUGGGCGUAAAGAGCUCGUAGGCGGUUUAGUAAGUCAGAUGUGAAAGGUUGGGGCUCAACCCUAAGACUGCAUUUGAUACUGCCGUGACUAGAGUCCGGUAGAGGAGUGUGGAAUUCCUGGUGUAGCGGUGAAAUGCGCAGAUAUCAGGAGGAACACCGACGGCGAAGGCAGCACUCUGGGCCGGUACUGACGCUGAGGAGCGAAAGCGUGGGUAGCAAACAGGAUUAGAUACCCUGGUAGUCCACGCCGUAAACGUUGGGCACUAGGUGUGGGGUCUUCUUAACGGAUUCCGUGCCGUAGCUAACGCAUUAAGUGCCCCGCCUGGGGAGUACGG
rnacentral:rRNA from 1 species